UACGGAGGGUGCAAGCGUUGUCCGGAAUCACUGGGCGUAAAGGGCGCGUAGGCGGCUCAUGAAGGCUGUGGUGAAAGUCCGGGGCUCAACCUCGGAUCGGCCGUGGCGACUCGUGGGCUGGAGCACUGUAGAGGCGGGUGGAAUUCCGGGUGUAGCGGUGGAAUGCGUAGAGAUCCGGAAGAACACCGGUGGCGAAGGCGGUUGGCUGGGCCGUAGCUGACGCUGAGGCGCGACAGCGUGGGGAGCAAACAGG
rnacentral:rRNA from 1 species